GAUGAACGCUGGCGGCGUGCCUAAUACAUGCAAGUCGAGCGAACAGACGAGGAGCUUGCUCCCCUGACGUUAGCGGCGGACGGGUGAGUAACACGUGGAUAACCUACUUCUUAUACUGGGAUAACAUCGGGAAGCCGGUGACAAUACCGCAUAAUAUAUUGAACGGCAUGGUUCAAUAGUGAAUGACGGUUUUGCUGUUACUUAUAGACGGAUCCGCGCCGCAUUAGCUAGUUGGUAAGGUAACGGCUUACCAAGGCAACGAUGCGUAGCCGACCUGAGAGGGUGAUCGGCCACACUGGAACUGAGACACGGUCCAGACUCCUACGGGAGGCAGCAGUGGGGAAUCUUCCGCAAUGGGCGAAAGCCUGACGGAGCAACGCCGCGUGAGUGAAGAAGGUCUUCGGAUCGUAAAGCUCUGUUAUUAGGGAAGAAAAAAUGUGUAAGUAACUAUGCACGUCUUGACGGUACCUAAUCAGAAAGCCACGGCUAACUACGUG
rnacentral:rRNA from 1 species